rnacentral:rRNA from 1 species
AGUGAACGCUGGCGGUAGGCCUAACACAUGCGAGUCGAACGGCAGCACAGUAAGAGCUUGCUCUUACGGGUGGCGAGUGGCGGACGGGUGAGGAAUACAUCGGAAUCUACUUUUUCGUGGGGGAUAACGUAGGGAAACUUACGCUAAUACCGCAUACGACCUACGGGUGAAAGCAGGGGAUCUUCGGACCUUGCGCGAUUGAAUGAGCCGAUGUCGGAUUAGCUAGUUGGCGGGGUAAAGGCCCACCAAGGCGACGAUCCGUAGCUGGUCUGAGAGGAUGAUCAGCCACACUGGAACUGAGACACGGUCCAGACUCCUACGGGAGGCAGCAGUGGGGAAUAUUGGACAAUGGGCGCAAGCCUGAUCCAGCCAUACCGCGUGGGUGAAGAAGGCCUUCGGGGUGUAAAGCCCUUUUGUUGGGAAAGAAAAGCAGCAGGUUAAUACCCCGCUGUUCUGACGGUACCCAAAGAAUAAGCACCGGCUAACUUCGUG